UACGUAGGGUGCAAGCGUUAUCCGGAAUUAUUGGGCGUAAAGAGCUCGUAGGCGGUUUGUCGCGUCUGCUGUGAAAACUGGGGGCUCAACCCCCAGCCUGCAGUGGGUACGGGCAGACGUAGAGUGCGGUAGGGGAGAUUGGAAUUCCUGGUGUAGCGGUGGAAUGCGCAGAUAUCAGGAGGAACACCGAUGGCGAAGGCAGAUCUCUGGGCCGUAACUGACGCUGAGGAGCGAAAGCAUGGGGAGCGAACAGG
rnacentral:rRNA from 1 species